GUCGAGACAAAGAGAUCAAGAACUGAACGAGGAGAUCGAGCGUCUGAAGAAGAAGCUGGCAGACUCUGAUAGGCUGGAGCACCAGCUGGAGGAGGCGGUCUCUCUCAGACAGGACUACGAGAGCUCCUCCUCCAAACUGAAACUCUGGAGAAGCAGGUGAAGACCCUGAGACAGGAGAAGGACGAAGUGCACAAGCAGCUGGCGGACUCUCUGGAGCGUCUCCGCAGUCAGACCAAGGAGCUGAAGGAGGCGCA